rnacentral:rRNA from 2 species
UACAGAGGGUGCGAGCGUUGUCCGGAAUCACUGGGCGUAAAGGGCGCGUAGGCGGCCUGGUAAGGUUGCGGUGAAAGCCCGGGGCUCAACCCCGGGUCGGCCGUGGCAACUGCUGGGCUGGAGCACAGUAGAGGCGGGUGGAAUUCCGGGUGUAGCGGUGGAAUGCGUAGAGAUCCGGAAGAACACCGGUGGCGAAGGCGGCCCGCUGGGCUGUGACCGCAAGGUCUUUAAGCUGACGCUGAGGCGCGACAGCGUGGGGAGCAAACAGG